ACUCCUACGGGAGGCAGCAGUGGGGAAUAUUGCACAAUGGGGGAAAGCCCUCGAUGCAGCCAUGCCGCGUGUGUGAAGAAGGCCUUCGGGUUGUAAAGCACUUUCAGCGAGGAGGAAAGGUCAGUGCUAAUACCUGCGGCUGUGACGUUACUCGCAGAAGAAGCACCGGCUAACUCCGUGCCAGCAGCCGCGGUAAUACGGAGGGUGCAAGCGUUAAUCGGAAUUACUGGGCGUAAAGCGCACGCAGGCGGUUGGAUAAGUUAGAUGUGAAAG
rnacentral:rRNA from 1 species